CAUUACCAAACGUCAACCGCACGUCAAAUUAAAACGCAACAACGUGUUUUCGAAAAGUGUGGUAACGCUGCUGAAAACUGCGGAGCUAGCCUGCGCUAACGAUUCUUGUGGGACAAAGGCUGACACCACCCUAAACACGGAGG
rnacentral:lncRNA from 1 species